AAAAACCCCACCCAGCGCCCUCUCCCUCUUCGUCUUCCUCACGCGCCGCCCUAUCCUCACGCAUCGCUUCCCCAUCGAUUUUGAGCGGCGAUGGCGCCGUCCCCUUCUCAGCACUUCCCCCGGCGAACGACCUCUCCUCUCCGCGCCCCCCCCCCCCCCCCCCACGGCUGCACCUCCCCCCUGGCUCCCCUAAACCUAAACCCUGGGCGCAGCAGCCGGGAGUCGGCUUGAUAGCCGGCGGCGGCGGGGGCCGACAGCGGCGGUGGGGGCCGACGGCUGCGGCGGGGCCCGACCUUCUUCCCCAGGCCACCUUCCUCCCCCUCUCCACUAUGCACCGCGGCAGUGGGAGCGAAGCCUCUGCCGGCUGCCUCUCUCCCUCCCUCCACACGUCCACUCGUCGUCGCCCCCUCCGUGGGUUCAGUUGUUAAAGAUGGCAAAGUCUUUGAAAGUAGCAAAGGUUGUAUACAGAGAUGGUGACCUUAACUUGGAGGUUUCUUUUGACCCAACCCAAACCCAAUCUACUUUGACUGCAACAGGAGGGGGAGAGGAGGGUGAGCCAGUAGAGCAGCGAUGGGAGGGGGAGGGGAGAGUGAGGCAGCGACAGUGGCAACAGGAGAGCAAGAGGGGAGGCAACCACCUCCAGAAGUGAAAUCUGUACCUAAAUUCUUGCAGUAACGUACUUGGAUGCUGGUAGUAACAUACUUAGUUGGUGGCAGUAGCAGGAGACUGUAGGACACACUGCCAUGUUUUUGCAGUAACGAAUGUGUGCAAUGGCAGUAACAUACCAUAUAUGUGGUAGUAACAUACCAUAUAUAUAGUCUUUUUGUGUCAUCGAACUUCCUUGUUAAUUCAUAACCACACCUAUGUUAACCUAUGUUAACCUCUGUUAUAUCAUUUUGAAAGUAUGUUGCUAAAUGAGGCAGUAACGUACACUGAUGUUAUCAGAAUGUUUUAUUUAUUGCCUGUAGCAGAAUCUAGCAGUAACGCU
rnacentral:lncRNA from 1 species